rnacentral:rRNA from 1 species
UACGUAGGGCGCAAGCGUUGUCCGGAAUUAUUGGGCGUAAAGAGCUCGUAGGCGGUUUGUCACGUCGGAUGUGAAAGCCCGGGGCUUAACCCCGGGUCUGCAUUCGAUACGGGCAGACUAGAGUGUGGUAGGGGAGAUCGGAAUUCCUGGUGUAGCGGUGAAAUGCGCAGAUAUCAGGAGGAACACCGGUGGCGAAGGCGGAUCUCUGGGCCAUUACUGACGCUGAGGAGCGAAAGCGUGGGGAGCAAACGGG